UACGUAGGGUGCAAGCGUUAAUCGGAAUUACUGGGCGUAAAGCGUGCGCAGGCGGCUUUGCAAGACAGAUGUGAAAGCCCCGGGCUCAACCUGGGAAUUGCGCUUGAUACUCCGGGGCUCGAGUUCGGGAGAGGAGAGUGGAAUUCCCAGUGUAGAGGUGAAAUUCGUAGAUAUUGGGAAGAACACCGGUGGCGAAGGCGGCUCUCUGGACCGAGACUGACGCUGAGGCGCGAAAGCGUGGGGAGCAAACAGG
rnacentral:rRNA from 1 species